GACGAACGCUGGCGGCGUGCUUAACACAUGCAAGUCGAACGGAAAGUCCCUUCUUUUGUGGGGUGCUCGAGUUGCGACCGGGUGAUUAACACUUGAGUAACCUGCCCUUGACUUUGGGAUAACUUCAGGCAACUUGGGCUAAUACCGGAUAGGAGCUCCUGCUGCAUGGUGGGGGUUGGAAAGUUUCGGCGGUUGGGGAUGUACUCGCGGCUUAUCAGCUUGUUGGUGGGGUGGUGGCUUACCAAGGCUUUGACGGGUAGCCGGCCUGCGAGGAGGACCGGACAAAUUGGGACUGAGAUAAGGCACAGACUCCUACGGGAGGCAGCAGUGGGGAAGAGUGCACAAUGGGAGGAAGCCUGAUGCAGCAACGCCGCGUGCGGGAUGACGGCCUGCGGGUUGUAAACCGCUUUCGCCUGUGACGAAGCGUGAGUGACGGUAAUGGGUAAAGAAGCACCGGCUAACUACGUG
rnacentral:rRNA from 1 species